GUGCAGCAGUCGCGAAACCUCCGCAAUGCGGGAAACCGCGACGGGGGACCCCGAGUGCCGUGGCAACGCCACGGCUUUUCCGGAGUGUAAAAAGCUCCGGGAAUAAGGGCUGGGCAAGGCCGGUGGCAGCCGCCGCGGUAAUACCGGCGGCCCGAGUGGUGGCCGCUAUUAUUGGGCCUAAAGCGUCCGUAGCCGGGCCCGUAAGUCCCUGGCGAAAUCCCACGGCUCAACCGUGGGGCUUGCUGGGGAUACUGCGGGUCUUGGGACCGGGAGAGGCGGGGGGUACCCCUGGGGUAGGGGUGAAAUCCUAUAAUCCCAGGGGGACCGCCAGUGGCGAAGGCGCCCCGCUGGAACGGGUCCGACGGUGAGGGACGAAGGCCAGGGGAGCAAAAUCGGAUUAGAUACCCGUGUAGU
rnacentral:rRNA from 1 species